ACUGAAAUAUCUAAGUAGCCGGAGGAAAGGACAUCAACCGAGACUCCGUUAGUAGUGACGAGCGAACGCGGACCAGGCCAGUGGAUGUGGCGAGGGGAACCAGAACUGUCUGGAAAGACAGGCCUGAGUGGGUGAUAGCCCCGUAUGGGUAGCACCUUGCCGCAUUCCUCGAGUAGGGCGGGACACGUGAAAUCCUGUCUGAACAUGGGGGGACCACCCUCCAAGCCUAAGUACUCCUCAACGACCGAUAGCGAACAAGUACCGUGAGGGAAAGGUGAAAAGUACCCCGAUGAGGGGAGUGAAACAGACCUGAAACUGAAUGCCUACAAACAGUCGGAGCCAACAUGAUUGGUGACGGCGUACCUUUUGUAUAAUGGGUCAGCGAGUUAGUUUAUUGAGCAAGCUUAAGCCGUUAGGUGUAGGCGUAGCGAAAGCGAGUCUGAAUAGGGCGACUGAGUUCAAUGAAUUAGACCCGAAACCGGGUGAUCUAGCCAUGGGCAGGUUGAAGGUGCGGUAACACGCACUGGAGGACCGAACCCACCGAUGUUGAAAAAUCGGGGGAUGACCUGUGGCUAGGGGUGAAAGGCCAAUCAAACCCGGAUAUAGCUGGUUCUCCGCGAAAACUAUUUAGGUAGUGCGUCGUGUAUUACCACAGGGGGUAGAGCACUGGAUGGGCUAGGGGGGCGCGAGCCUUACCAAACCUAACCAAACUCCGAAUACCUGUGAGUACAGCACGGCAGACAGACCAUGG
rnacentral:rRNA from 1 species